AAUACGUUCCCGGACCUUGCACACACCGCCCGUCAAGCCAUGGAAGCUGAGUGUACCUAAAGUCGGUAACCGUAAGGAGCCGCCUAGGGUAAAACUAGUGACUGGGGCU
rnacentral:rRNA from 1 species